rnacentral:rRNA from 1 species
AAUAGAUACCCGGGUAGUCCACGCCGUAAACGAUGGAUACUAGCUGUUGGAGGUAUCGACCCCUUCAGUAGCGAAGCUAACGCGUUAAGUAUCCCGCCUGUGGAGUACGGUCGCAAGACUAAAACAUAAAGGAAUUGACGGGGACCCGCACAAGCGGUGGAUCGUGUUCUUUAAUUCGAUGCUAAACGAAGAACCUUACCAGGGUUUGACAUCCCUUGAAUUAAUCCGAAAGGAUUGAGUGCUUUAUUGAACAAGGUGACAGGUGAUGCAUGGCCGUCGUCAGCUCGUGUCGCGAGAUGUUUGGUUAAGUCCAUCAACGAGCGCAACCCUUGCAAGUAGUUGUAUUUUUCUACUUGGACUGCCCCGGUAACGGGGAGGAAGGAGGGGAUGAUGUCAGGUCAGUAUUUCCCUUACAUCCUGGGCUAGAAACACGAUACAAUGGCUAGUACAAUGCGCAGCGAAGCCGCGAGGUGAAGCAAAUCGCAUCAAAGCUAGUCCCAGUUCGGAUUGGAGGCUGAAACUCGCCUCCAUGAAGUCGG